rnacentral:rRNA from 1 species
GAUGAACGCUAGCGGCAGGCUUAAUACAUGCAAGUCGUGGGGCAGCAGGUUUGUAGCAAUACAGAUGCUGGCGACCGGCAAACGGGUGCGGAACACGUACAGAACCUUCCUUUGAGCGGGGAAUAGCCCAGAGAAAUUUGGAUUAAUACCCCAUAGUAUAAUGAAGUGGCAUCACUUUAUUAUUAAAGAUUUAUCACUCGAAGAUGGCUGUGCGGCUGAUUAGGUAGUUGGCGGGGUAAAGGCCCACCAAGCCUGCGAUCAGUAACUGGUGUGAGAGCACGACCAGUCACACGGGCACUGAGACACGGGCCCGACUCCUACGGGAGGCAGCAGUAAGGAAUAUUGGUCAAUGGAGGCAACUCUGAACCAGCCAUGCCGCGUGGAGGAUGAAGGUCCUCUGGAUUGUAAACUUCUUUUGCAUGGGACGAAAAACUUAUUUAUUAAGGACUGACGGUACCAUGAGAAUAAGCACCGGCUAACUCCGUGCC